rnacentral:rRNA from 1 species
UACGGAGGGGGCAAGCGUUGUUCGGAAUUAUUGGGCGUAAAGGGCGCGUAGGCGGCCGGCCAAGUCGGGUGUGAAAUCCCUCGGCUCAACCGAGGAACUGCACUCGAUACUGGCUGGCUUGAGUCCGGGAGGGGAUGGUGGAAUUCCCAGUGUAGCGGUGAAAUGCGUAGAUAUUGGGAAGAACACCGGUGGCGAAGGCGGGUCUCUGGGCCGAUACUGACGCUGAGGAGCGAAAGCGUGGGGAGCAAACAGG